GCCGGCAUGGCCCAGUGGCAAGGCGUCUCACUCGUAAUGAGAAGAUCCCUCGUUCGAAUCGGGGUGUUGGCA
rnacentral:tRNA from 1 species